rnacentral:rRNA from 1 species
GAUGAACGCUAGCGGCAGGCUUAACACAUGCAAGUCGAGGGGUAUUGGUUUUCGGACCAAGAGACCGGCGCACGGGUGCGUAACGCGUAUGCAAUCUACCUUUUGCAGAGGGAUAGCCCCAGAGAAAUUUGGAUUAAUACCUCAUAGUAUAGUACUUUGGCAUCAAGGAACUAUUAAAGUCACAACGGCAAAGAUGAGCAUGCGUCCCAUUAGCUAGUUGGUAAGGUAACGGCUUACCAAGGCUACGAUGGGUAGGGGUCCUGAGAGGGAGAUCCCCCACACUGGUACUGAGACACGGACCAGACUCCUACGGGAGGCAGCAGUGAGGAAUAUUGGACAAUGGGCGCAAGCCUGAUCCAGCCAUGCCGCGUGCAGGGAAGAAGCAUCUAUGGUGU